GCACCAUAGCUCAGUGGCAGAGCACAUGCUUUGCACGCAAAGGGUUCUAGAUUCAAUCCCUGUGAGUUCA